rnacentral:rRNA from 1 species
UGGGGAAUAUUGCACAAUGGGCGAAAGCCUGAUGCAGCGACGCCGCGUGAGCGAAGAAGUAUUUCGGUAUGUAAAGCUCUAUCAGCAGGGAAGAAAAUGACGGUACCUGACUAAGAAGCCCCGGCUAACUACGUGCCAGCAGCCGCGGUAAUACGUAGGGGGCAAGCGUUAUCCGGAUUUACUGGGUGUAAAGGGAGCGUAGGCGGCAAGGCAAGUCUGAUGUGAAAACCCGGGGCUCAACCCCGGGACUGCAUUGGAAACUGCUUAGCUAGAGUGUCGGAGAGGUAAGUGGAAUUCCUAGUGUAGCGGUGAAAUGCGUAGAUAUUAGGAGGAACACCAGUGGCGAAGGCGACUUACUGGACGAUAACUGACGCUGAGGCUCGAAAGCGUGGGGAGCAAACA